AUUGAACGCUGGCGGCAGGCCUAACACAUGCAAGUCGAGCGAGCGGCGGACGGGUGAGUCAUGUCUGGGAAUCUGCCCGAUGGCGGGGGAUAACUACUGGAAACGGUGGCUAAUACCGCAUACUAUCCGAUGUACCCAUAUGGGAUUAUCUAUUAGGUGGGGUAAAGGCUCACCUAGUCGACGAUCCCUAGCUGGUCUGAGAGGAUGAUCAGCAACACGGGGACGGAGAAACGGUACAGACAGCUAGGGGAGGAAGCAGUAGGGAAUAGGGCGCAAGGGGCGAAAGCCUGAUGGAGCCAGGCCGCGUGUAUGAAGAAGGCCGUAGGGUAGUAAAGUACUUGCAGCGGGGAGGCGGUACCCGAAGAAGAAGCACCGGCUAACUCCGUGCCAGCAGCCGCGGUAAUUC
rnacentral:rRNA from 1 species